GGAUUGUAGCUCAGUGGUAGAGCAUUUGCCUUGCAUGUGUGAGGCCCUGGGUUCGAUCCUCAGCACCA
rnacentral:tRNA from 1 species